rnacentral:rRNA from 1 species
GACGAACGCUGGCGACGUGCUUAACACAUGCAAGUCGAACGGAAAUGCCCUGCUUUUGUGGGGUGCUCGAGUGGCGGAAGGGUGAGUAACACGUGAGUAACCUGCCCUUUACUUUGGGGUAACUUCAGGGAACUGGGGCUAAUACCGGGUAGGAGUUCCUGCUCCGUGGUGGGGGUUGGAAAGUGUCGGCGGUUAGGGAUGGACUCGCGGGUUAUCAGCUUGUUGGUGGGGUAGUGGCUUACCAGGGCUUUGACGGGUAGCCGGCCUGAGAGGGUGACGGGCCACAUUGGGACUGAGAUACGGCGCAGAAGCCUACGGGAGGCAGCAGUGGGGAAUAUUGCACAAUGGGCGGAAGCCUGAUGCAGCAACGCCGCGUGCGGGAUGACGGCCUUCGGGUUGUAAACCGCGUUCGCCUGUGACGAAGCGUGAGUGACGGUAAUGGGUAAAGAAGCACCGGCUAACUACGUG